GGCUUCGUAGCUCAGUCGGUUAGAACAUCGUGCUAACAACGCGAAUGUCGAGGGUUCGUUGCCUUCCGGAGCCU
rnacentral:tRNA from 1 species